rnacentral:rRNA from 1 species
AUUGAACGCUGGCGGCAUGCCUUACACAUGCAAGUCGAACGGCAGCACGGGAGUAAUCCUGGUUGCGAGUGGCGAACGGGUGAGUAAAGCAUCUGAACUUGCCCAUUCGUUGUGUAUAACGUAUCGAAAGCUACGCUAAUACCUCAUACGAUCUGUGUAUGAAAGCGGGGGUCCGUAAUUCCUCGCCCGCUUGUAUCGUCCGAUGUCAGAUUAGGUAGUUGGUGAGGUAAAGGCUCACCAAGCCGACGAUCUGUAGCUGGUCUGAGAGGACGACCAGCCACACUGGGACUGAGACACGGACCAGACUCCUACGGGAGGCAGCAGUGGGGAAUUUUGGACAAUGGGCGCAAGCCUGAUACAGCAAUGCCGCGUGAAGGAUGAAGGACUUCGGGUUGUAAACUGCUUUUGUAAGGAGCGAAAAGGAUUCCACUAAUACUGGGGGCUAAUGACGGUACCGUAAGAAUAAGCACCGGCUAACUACGUG